UAUGAGUAAAUGGACGUGAGUAAAUGGAAUGUAAAAUUAUGUUGCAGAUUUUGAAUUAGGAAUAAAUGGUACGUAUAAAUUAGUAUGAUGUAGUAUCGAUUACAGUGAGCUUGUUAGGUGUACGUUUUUAUGUGCUAUUUUUAACCUGCGCUUUCUCUCUCUCGCUCCGUUCCCUGAUAUAAACUGUAAAUCGUGUUGUGUGUGUGUGUGUGUGUACGUAUCUGUGUGGGCGCGCGUAUGUGAAAAAAUACCGAAGUUCUCAAGGAGGCAGAAUGGAACAAAAGAGUCUGAACCAAAACCAGGCUAGAAAAUUAACCUACCAACAACAAUGGCUGGGAAGGCGAACGUGAACAAGGCGGAGUGUUGGUGGAGGCUGGCGUGGGCGAGACGAGCGGGUGGAGUGUGGUGGUGAGAGGAGACACGCGGUGGAUGUAACAGUAUCUUGGUGCGUGACGUUUGGGGUGUCACCGUCUUCAGAGAUAAGUGGCUGUUUCCUGAUAAGGUUGUGAGAUAAACAGUGACUCUCUCUCUCUCUCUCUCUCUCUCUCUCACGGGGAAGGAGGGGAACAAACAUAUAGAUAGCAGUGUUUCGAGGGUAGGUGUUCGAUUCUGAUCAGUACACACUAGGAAGGCACAGUACACAAAUGUUGGGCUCAUCGCCGAGCGCUCCACCAACAAGUGCUGCGCAUCUGAAAUGACACGGGCCUGAGAUAACUCGCCGGUGAGGACUUGAAUGUGCGACGAGACUGGAGCCCUCGCAAUGUAGGGACGGCGCUAUUGCCACCGAGGUGAAGCUUGUGAGGUUCCACAUAUAAAAGUGUAGAGAGAAAGAGCCAUGUUUUGCCGUCAUGCAUAUAAUGACUGAACUUCUCGGCAGUAAUUUUUUUCUAAGUUUUAGCGAGACGUCAGAGUGCCGAGGAUAGAGGGAAAUGAAAACUUUGGAUAAGCCUCUUUCCGCCCCAGCUGGUAAGGGAGAAAUACGUCAUCUGCCUGGCGGUUGUCAGGCUGAGAUUGCUCCGCCGUGCCUCCAGGCAUCGAGGAAAUAAACCGAUUAACAGCGAAACAUUUUUUUAUUACUGCAGCAGCAGCAGCAACAGCAGCAGCAGCAGCAGUAGCCACGUCAGCAUCAAACCGCACCCCUGUCGGGAGGAGACGGGCGGACGGACGUGUAAUGACAUUAAACAAAAGUGCGGGA